rnacentral:rRNA from 1 species
UGCGUAGACGGUUAUUUAAGUCGGAUGUGAAAGCCCCGGGCUCAACCUGGGAAUUGCAUUCGAGACUGAAUAGCUAGGGUGCGGUAGAGGGAAGCGGAAUUUCCGGUGUAGCGGUGAAAUGCGUAGAUAUCGGAAGGAACAUCAGUGGCGAAAGCGGCUUCCUGGACCAGCACCGACGUUCAGGCACGAAAGCGUGGGAGCAAACA